rnacentral:rRNA from 1 species
GACAGAGGGUGCAAACGUUGCUCGGAAUCACUGGGCGUAAAGGGCGCGUAGGCGGCGUUUUAAGUCGGGGGUGAAAGCCUGUGGCUCAACCACAGAAUGGCCUUCGAUACUGGGACGCUUGAGUAUGGUAGAGGUUGGUGGAACUGCGAGUGUAGAGGUGAAAUUCGUAGAUAUUCGCAAGAACACCGGUGGCGAAGGCGGCCAACUGGACCAUUACUGACGCUGAGGCGCGAAAGCGUGGGGAGCAAACAGG